rnacentral:rRNA from 1 species
ACUCAAAGGAAUUGACGGGGGCCCGCACAAGCGGUGGAGCAUCUGGUUUAAUUUGAAGCAACGCGCAGAACCUUACCAGCUCUUGACAUUCGGGGUAUGGGCAUUGGAGACGAUGUCCUUCAGUUAGGCUGGCCCCAGAACAGGUGCUGCAUGGCUGUCGUCAGCUCGUGUCGUGAGAUGUUGGGUUAAGUCCCGCAACGAGCGCAACCCUCGCCCUUAGUUGCCAGCAUUUAGUUGGGCACUCUAAGGGGACUGCCGGUGAUAAGCCGAGAGGAAGGUGGGGAUGACGUCAAGUCCUCAUGGCCCUUACGGGCUGGGCUACACACGUGCUACAAUGGUGGUGACAGUGGGCAGCGAGACAGCGAUGUCGAGCUAAUCUCCAAAAGCCAUCUCAGUUCGGAUUGCACUCUGCAACUCGAGUGCAUGAAGUUGGAAUCGCUAG